CCUACGGGUGGCAGCAGUGAGGAAUAUUGGUCAAUGGACGGAAGACUGAACCAGCCAUGCCGCGUGCAGGAAGACGGCUCUAUGAGUUGUAAACUGCUUUUGUACAAGGGUAAAGCCGAAUACGUGUAUUCGGCUGAAUGUACGGUACGAAUAAGGAUCGGCUAACUCCGUGCCAGCAGCCGCGGUAAUACGGAGGAUUCAAGCGUUAUCCGGAUUGAUUGGGUUUAAAGUGUGCGUAGGCGGAUGGAUAAGUUAGGGGUUAAAUGGCCGAGCUUAACUCGGGAACUGCCACUGAUACUGUUAAUCUAGAGAAUAGGUGCGGUAGGCGGAAUGUAUGGUGUAGCGGUGAAAUGCUUAGAGAUCAUACAGAACACCGAUUGCGAAGGCAGCAUACCAACUUAUAUCUGACGUUGAGGCACGAAAGCGUGGGUAGCAAACAGGAUUAGAUACCCGUGUAGUC
rnacentral:rRNA from 1 species